GCACCUUAGUGAGAUUGAGUUGGGUCACUUCGAGUUGCUGUCGUCUUUGUCUUCAGAGUCAGAGGAUUAUUUUCCUUGUACCAGAUUUAAAGCCUCCGUUUGGAGCAGGUUCUUAUUUAUCGCUUUUAUUUAUUUAUUAGUCUCGCUUUACUUUAUUUAUUUACUUGUCUCGUUUUACUUUAUUUACUUUUUGUCUACGCUUUAUUUUAUUUACUUUCUGUCUACGCUUUAUUUUAUUUACUUUCUGUCCACGCUUUACUUUUACACGCUUU
rnacentral:lncRNA from 1 species